rnacentral:tRNA from 1 species
GGCUCCAUCGUCUAGCGGUCCAGGACGGCAGGUUCUCAUCUUGCAAACCGGGGUUCGAUUCCCCGUGGAGUCA